ensembl:snoRNA
CCUGCACCCGACCCAAGGACUGCCGCUGCCUGUAGCGGCUGUUUAAACAGUGGUGCACACAGCAAAGGGGCUUUGUCGCCUUUGGGGGGCUGCGUGGUGCCCCCCAGAGUGAAUCAAGAGGUUCUACAGUC